ACGUGAUUCCCGAAUCAAAAAUCCAGUAUGGCGGAAUCUGUCAGACGGCGCUUCUGUCGCUUUUGCGCGUUUCGGGCGAAUUCAGAUGUCUGCCGUUGAUCCCGCGAGCGUCCUGCGUCUGCCGCGAUCAGCUGCUGGCUGGAUUUGUCGAGACGAGGAGCAGAAACCGCUGCUUUGCUGGAGCUACAUCUGAAGUUUUGAAAACGCAUCAGCUGCUCCAGACAUCAUGACUUCUCAAAGUCAUUCAGAAGACACCAAAUCUCCCCCAAUCCAUCCAUCUGACUCUCCACAUACAGAAUUACAGGUUCUCUGUGGCGGCACCGAACAAAUGAAGGCUUCC